AGCAGCCGCGGUAAUUCCAGCUCCAAUAGCGUAUAUUAAAGUUGUUGCAGUUAAAAAGCUCGUAGUUGAAUUUCGGGGUUAGCAGGUCGGUCGUGCCAUCGGUAUGAACUGGUCUCGCUGAUCCCUCCCUCUUGACGAACUGUGAUGCCAUUAAUUUGGUGUCGCAGGGAAUCAGGACUGUUACUUUGAAAAAUUAGAGUGUUUAAAGCAGGCUCACGCUUGAAUACAUUAGCAUGGAAUAAUGAAAUAGGACGUUUGAUCCUAUUUUGUUGGUUUCUAGGAUUGACGUAAUGAUUAAUAGGGAUAGUUGGGGGCAUUAGUAUUCAAUUGUCAGAGGUGAAAUUCUUGGAUUUAUUGAAGACUAACUACUGCGAAAGCAUUUGCCAAGGAUGUUUUCAUUAAUCAAGAACGAAAGUUAGGGGAUCGAAGACGAUCAGAUACCGUCGUAGUCCUAACCAUAAACUAUGCCGACUAGGGAUCGGAUGAUGUUAAUUUUUAAUGACUCAUUCC
rnacentral:misc_RNA from 1 species